GCCGGGCGCGGUGGCACGCACCUGUAGUCCCAGCUACUCAGGAGGCUGAGGCCAGAGGAUCACUUGAGUCCAGGAGAUAGGGGCUGUCAUGCGCUAUGCUGAUCGGGUGUCCGCACUAAGUUCGGCAUCAAUAUGGUGACCUCCCGGGAGCGGGGGACCACCAGGUUGCCUAAGGAGGGGUGAAUCGGCCCAGGUCGGAAACGGAGCAGGUCAAAACUCCUGUGCUGAUCUGAAAUGUGGGCUAAUUCAAUGAGUACCUUUUGCAUUCUAUGGGUCUCUC
ensembl:misc_RNA Metazoa_SRP Metazoan signal recognition particle RNA